rnacentral:rRNA from 1 species
AGGGUUUGAUUAUGGCUCAGGAUGAACGCUGGCGGCGUGCUUAACACAUGCAAGUCGAACGAAGCACUUUCGAUUGAAUCUUCGGAGGAAAGAGGAAGUGACUGAGUGGCGGACGGGUGAGUAACGCGUGGGUAACCUGCCUCAUACAGGGGGAUAACAGUUAGAAAUGGCUGCUAAUACCGCAUAAGCAUACAGCACCGCAUGGUGCAGUGUGAAAAACUCCGGUGGUAUGAGAUGGACCCGCGUCUGAUUAGGUAGUUGGUGGGGUAACGGCCUACCAAGCCGACGAUCAGUAGCCGACCUAAGAGGGUGACCGGCCACAUUGGGACUGAGACACGGCCCAA